rnacentral:rRNA from 1 species
GAUGAACGCUAGCUACAGGCUUAACACAUGCAAGUCGAGGGGAAACGACAUCGAAAGCUUGCUUUUGAUGGGCGUCGACCGGCGCACGGGUGAGUAACGCGUAUCCAACCUGCCCAUCACUUGGGAAUAACCUUGCGAAAGUAAGACUAAUACCCAAUAAUAUCCCACGAAGGCAUCGGAAUGGGAUUAAAGAUUUAUCGGUGAUGGAUGGGGAUGCGUCUGAUUAGCUUGUUGGCGGGGUAACGGCCCACCAAGGCAACGAUCAGUAGGGGUUCUGAGAGGAAGGUCCCCCACAUUGGAACUGAGACACGGUCCAAACUCCUACGGGAGGCAGCAGUGAGGAAUAUUGGUCAAUGGGCGAGAGCCUGAACCAGCCAAGUAGCGUGCAGGAAGACGGCCCUAUGAGUUGUAAACUGCUUUUAUAAGGGAAUAAAGUGGGUCACGUGUGACUUUUUGCAUGUACCUGAUGAAUAAGGACCGGCUAAUUCCGUG